GAAAUGAAAUUGGGGAAAGUUAUUUUGUUUAUUUUUCAUUUAAAUUUAUUUGCGUUUUGCCAAACUCUCUAUUUUUCUUAGUUAUCUUUUUUUUUUUGACAAUUUCUUUAGUUAUCUUUUAAUUAUAGUUUAAUCUCCUUUAUUCUAUAUAAUUUCAUGAAAAUACAAUAAUCACUUACAAAUACUUUAUUUUUAUUUUUUUGAAUCUACUAAAAUUAAUUUUGAUAUUUUUUUGACAAAAAAUCAUCAAUGUUUGUUUUGUGCACAUUUUAU
rnacentral:lncRNA from 1 species